rnacentral:rRNA from 1 species
UACAGAGGUCCCAAGCGUUGUUCGGAUUCAUUGGGCGUAAAGGGUGCGUAGGCGGCGCGGGAAGUCGGGUGUGAAAUCUCGGAGCUUAACUCCGAAACUGCAUUCGAUACUGGCGUGCUUGAGGACUGGAGAGGAGACUGGAAUUUACGGUGUAGCAGUGAAAUGCGCAGAUAUCAGGAGGAACACCGGUGGCGAAGGCGGGUCUCUGGGCCGAUACUGACGGCUGAGGAGCGAAAGCGUGGGGAGCGAACAGG